UACGUAGGGUGCAAGCGUUAAUCGGAAUUACUGGGCGUAAAGCGUGCGCAGGCGGUUUUGUAAGUCUGUCGUGAAAUCCCCGGGCUCAACCUGGGAAUUGCGAUGGAGACUGCAAGGCUAGAAUCUGGCAGAGGGGGGUAGAAUUCCACGUGUAGCAGUGAAAUGCGUAGAGAUGUGGAGGAACACCGAUGGCGAAGGCGGCCGGCUGGGGGUGCCCUGACGCUGAGGCGCGAAAGCGUGGGGAGCGAACCGG
rnacentral:rRNA from 1 species